UCAAAACACAAAACGAAAACAGGGACUUAACAUAAAAUAGUUUUGACGGACAUGAACAGAUUGGCAAGCCAAGGAAAGAUAAUAGACAGAGGGGGAAGAGAAUUAGACAUCCUGAACGGACCCAGUUAUCCUACCUAAGAGAUCCAGAAUCAAGCAUUCCUCCAGUAGGAGCCAGAGAGGCAGCAGGAGGCCUCCCAAUCUCCUCCUGUUCCUAGGAGAGCUUUGAAACAGCUUACAUUCAUUUUCCUUCUCUUUUGCCAAAGCAUCCACAGGUAGUCAGAGAGGACUGCUUGUCUGAAACUCAUUCUCUAAUGUCUCAGGCGCAAACUAUCUCUAGAUUUCAGCAUAGCUCUACACAUACACAAAACACACUUCACCAUUACCUUGUCCUUCUACAAGGUUUAUUCACCGCUGGCCCAACUCUGUAAUAAUCUUGGAAAGCACUACCCACAUGCUCCCAUCUUUUAAGAAGAAGGGGAAACCAUAGGAAAAUCUCUUUAACAAAAUCAAAACAUAUAAGCAAAUCAUGUAUUUUAAACUUUAUCCCUUGCGCCUUUAAAGCCUUUUUCAACCGUUCCACAAAUAAUUCAUGGCUAUUUAACGUCUGUCCCCAUGAUCACCGCGAACUUACUAGGAUCUCUAGUCGAGGCAGCAGGUUCCUGCGCAAGAUGUCUUCCACACAAAACACUGUGGUUAUCUUCACUGGUCCCUUCGUACUCAAGCCCUAAGCUGGGCGCCAGCUGUCUCGACCUGCAGGACUUAAACAACAAGGUUCUCAAGGGAAGGGAGCUACAAAUGACAAAUUUGGAAUCAGAAGGCAUGAAGGAAGGAGAUAAGACAAAAAUUCUGUUCAAGUCUCUUUUACUCUUGGGAAAUGGAGGGUUUAUAAAGCUGAAAACCACAGACGGUAUUUGCUCAGGUGCACAGGACAAACCAGUGCUAGGCAAACACAUUAAUGUCAAAGGAAUGUCUCCAUUGUAAAAUGUCCAGAAAGGAAUGUCUUUAUUGUAAAAGGAAAGGAAUGCCCUCAUUGUAAAAUGUCCCUAGUUAACUAUGGAAUGGAAACAAGAUAGUGGAAGGAGGGAAAGAGUGUUCGAUGAUGACCCAGGGACAUGAUGGAGGCUGAGAUGUCAGGGGCUUCCGGACCCGAACAACAGACAGACUGAUAUAUAGAUAUAUAGCUAUAUAAAUUGUGAUUGAUGCUAGAUAGAUAAUACAAGGAGAGAUAGAUGAGUCUACAGUUUUUGACAGUAUGUAUGUGUCCAUGUAUAUGCAUGGGUUUUAGUAGGUGGAUGCAUUUGUGUGUGCCUGGUUGUGUGGAGACUAGAGGUUGAUGCUCUUAUCUUACUUUUGAGACAGGGUUUGUAAUUAAACCUGAAGUUCACUGAUUCAGCAAGACUAGUUGGGCCAGGAUAUCUAAGGAUCCUCCUAUCACUGACUCCUCAGAGCUAGGCUACACGGUGCAUGUGAGGACACCCUGCUUUGUGUAUGGGCGUUGGCAGUCUGGACUCUGAUCCUCAUGCUUGCACAUCAAGUACUUUACUGACUGAACUAUUUCUCCAGAUGUAAAUCUAUUUCUUGGCAUAAGAGAAUAUUUUAAGAUUAUAAUACCAGCAUGAUCACUGUGAUGGUUUGUAUAUUCUUGAACCAGGGAGUGGCACCAUUUGGAGGUGUGGCCUUGUUGGAAUAGGUGUGAUCUGGUUGGAGUAGGUGUGUCACUGUGGGUGUGGGCUUAAGACUCUCACCCCAGUUGCCUAGAAGUCAGUCUUCCACUAGCAGCCUUUGGAUGAAGAUGUAGGACUCUCAGCUCUGCUUGUGCCAUGCCUGCCUUGAUACUGCCAUGCUCCCACCUUGAUGAUAAUGGACUGAACCUCUGAACCUGUAAGCCAGCCCCAAUUAAAUGUUGUUUUUAUAAGACUUAACAUUGGUCAUGGUGUCUGUUCACAGCAGUAAAACCCUAACUAAGACAAUCACGCAUUGUCAAGAUCCUUCUUGAAUUCUGGCUAUAAAUCCUCUGUCCACUCAAACAUGUUGUCUUCUUCCCCUCUAGGUACUUUUAUAUUGGCUGUAAUACAGAAUGAAAGGAAGACAUUUGAAAAUGAAUGGUUUCAAGUAGGCUUUCUUGACAAUUCGUCUGGCACCAUUUGCUCGGUGUGUGCAGCAAUCCUAAUCCGGUCAAAAGGACCCAGAAAUCACAGUAUGACCAUCUCCAGCCUUGUCGAUAGACUUGCCUUCCUGAUACAACUGUUAGACAAGAUUCAAGGUCACAUGUAUUUGUGAUUCCUAUGCUAUUUUAUGUAACUGCACUGUUAUAUAUGGUUAAUAAAAU
rnacentral:lncRNA from 1 species